rnacentral:rRNA from 1 species
UGGGGAAUAUUGCACAAUGGAGGGAACUCUGAUGCAGCGACGCCGCGUGAGUGAUGAAGGACUUCGUUUCGUAAAACUCUGUUCUAUGGGAAGAAAAGGACUGUACCAUAGGAGAAAGCUCCGGCUAAAUACGUGCCAGCAGCCGCGGUAAUACGUAUGGAGCGAGCGUUGUCCGGAAUUAUUGGGCGUAAAGGGUGCGCAGGCGGCUUUACAAGUUGGAUGUGAAAUAUUGUGGCUCAACCACAAACGUGCAUCCAAAACUGCAAAGCUUGAGUUAAGGAGAGGUAAGUGGAAUUCCUGGUGUAGCGGUGGAAUGCGUAGAUAUCAGGAGGAAUACCGGUGGCGAAGGCGACUUACUGGACUUAAACUGACGCUCAGGCACGAAAGCGUGGGGAGCAAACAG